rnacentral:rRNA from 1 species
UACGGAGGAUGCGAGCGCUAUCCGGAUUUAUUGGGUUUAAAGGGUGCGUAGGCGGACUGUCAAGUCAGCGGUAAAAUACGGGGGCUCAACCUCCGCCCGCCGUUGAAACUGACGGUCUUGAGUGGGCGAGAAGUAUGCGGAAUGCGUGGUGUAGCGGUGAAAUGCAUAGAUAUCACGCAGAACUCCGAUUGCGAAGGCAGCAUACCGGCGCCCAACUGACGCUGAAGCACGAAAGCGUGGGUAUCGAACAGG